rnacentral:rRNA from 1 species
GACGAACGCUGGCGGCGUGCUUAACACAUGCAAGUCGAACGGAAAGGCCCUGCUUUUUUGGUGUGCUCGAGUGGCGAACGGGUGAGUAACACGUGAGUAACCUGCCCUUGACUUUGGGAUAACUUCAGGAAACUGGGGCUAAUACCGGAUAGGAGCUCCUGCUGCAUGGUGGGGGUUGGAAAGUUUCGGCGGUUGGGGAUGGACUCGCGGCUUAUCAGCUUGUUGGUGGGGUAGUGGCUUACCAAGGCUUUGACGGGUAGCCGGCCUGGGAGGGUGACCGGCGUCAUUGGGACUGAGGUACGGACCAGACGGGAACGGGAGGCAGCGGGGGGGAAUAUUACACAGUGGGCGGAAGCCGGAGGAAGAGACGUCGCGGGCGGGAAGACGGCCUGCUGGUUGUAAACAGCUUUAGCCUGUGACGAAGCGGGAGUGACGGUAAUGGGUGAAGAAGCACCGGCUAACUACGUG